rnacentral:misc_RNA from 1 species
UUCUGCUGCUCCUGCUGCCUCUGCCUCUGCUUUCUGUUGGUGCUUAAUUGUGUGUUUUAUUAUAAUUCAUUAUCUUGACCAAUUUUAAUCAUAAACAUUAUAUUAACUAGAAAUAGAUAAUUGUAGCUGUCGGUGCAUUUUCACAUAGUUUUGUUACAUAGUUGAAGAAGAUAAAUGAUUUGAUUUAAUUGCAACACCAAUGUAAGGCGUUAGAAACUAUGGUAUUAAUUAUUGUGGAUUUAUCAUGAUUUAAAUUUGGAACAUAUUUCCUAUAAGGUGCCCUACAACUUUGUUCUGUGUGGAGAUGAGUGAGAGUAACAGUUAUGAAUCACUGGCUGAAAUUAUUUUCAAAGUCAACGAUGACGUAGAUGAUGACAUCUAUUGUCUGUUCAGUCGUGCCGUAAUCUGGGAUAAGUUACUUAAAACACAAGCAGAUGCUGAAAUAACGGAAGAGCAGUGCAGUGCUGUGUCUGCUAAAAAGGAGUUUGUCUGUGAAGAAGAAAACGUGGUCAAGUUUUUCAAUUCUUCGACUGAAUCUCCACCGCCCACUAAACUCUUCAGAAAGCGUGAUCAUGAUGAAGUAGUUAGCUGCUACUGCAGUGCUUCGCACUAUUCUACCGACGAACACGACAGCCUGCGUGAGAGCAGCACUCUCCACCACAGCGACAGUGGCGCAGAUCUGUCGGAGAGUUCGCGCGACUUGGACUGGGAGAAAUACUGGGCAACUCACGGUGAACGCCUUAUAUGGGAGAGCUGGAUCUCCAAGUACGGCAACUACAUUGAUCCCACCUACCUACAAACUACAGCUUCAAACGACGAUGAAACCUCGUUUUGCAUUCAGAACGAAGACAAAACCAACCAGAGAAUUUCUUUUAGUGGGUUGCUGGAUGAACUGAAGAGUAAGACUGAUUGUUUCAGUAAUUUUGAUAGUGUAGUUGAGGUUGUGGAUGGUGUGAAUCAUUCAGAGGACUUGUUGGAGAGUAAGGAUAAGGUUGAUGGUGCGCAAGGCUCAGAUGAGAUCUUGGAGGGGAAUAAUUUGGGAGAAGUGUUGAACCGGCGCCUGUCUGAUAUCUCAGAAGACGGCCGUUCUGGGUCGGGGCGUAGUGAGGCGUCAUCCUCCAACAACGAAGAUUUCCGAGUGGGCUCUAGUAGCAGAUGCUCGGGCAACAGUUUUGCGCUAACUGCUACAACAGAUUCUCUGACGAACGUCACUCGUAUGACGGUGUCGUCUUCUGACUCAGUGACAGACGAAUCUUCCGGUGGAAGGAGUAACUCGCUGCUCUCGUCAACGACCUCCCAGAACGAGGCCGAUCAACAGUGGCAGAUUUUGUGGGCGGAACACUUCAACGAACAAUACUACAACCAUUACCAGGCGUUCAAUUUGAAGAAUCUUGUCUCGACAACAAAACUGAAAGACAACAGUUGUGUCGGAGAAUCGUCGAACGAUGUCGGAGAUGCAGAUGAGGUUAGCCUGUCGGAUCCAAUUACUUGUCUGCUCAAUGAUGGCAGUCAGAUGGACUCAUCGUCCGACUUCCUGGAUGUGAGCUCGUUGAAUCUAAACGACUCGUCUUCGUCACUAGUGAUACGUGAGGAGAGUGCAGGUGAGGCUGCCGUCAACGGUUCUCCCAGAAGUCAACGACCCAAGAAGAGUGGCAAGAGACAGCGAAAAUCGAAACCGCAGAGCAAGAUAUCAAUGUCAAUUGGCUGGACCUUGCGUCAGCUGAGGAACGAACAAAACACUGAAUCAACUGAUCUGACCGCGGACUCGAAAAUGGAGAACGAUUGCGAUGUCAAGGAUGCGUCGCUACCUGUUGGUGAAGUUUCCAACGACAGUGAAGCUGAAUUUAGUGAAAAAGACAAGGGACUACCAGUUAGUGAAGUUGUAAAUGAUAGUGCAGCUGAGGGUGAAAAAGUGAAUGCACCACCGGGUGUAAAUGAUAGUGAAGUGAGGGAUACUGAUGAUGUAGGUGCCGAUAGUGAAGUGAGUGAUAGUGAAAUGCCGCCUGACGCCUGUAGUGACGACACACUCGCCGUUUCGAUCAACGAGAAUGAGAGGGAGCGAGUGGACGAGGGUCCACGAGUCGAGUCGAGUCAACUGACGAUCGACGAGUCUGGUUCUGAGGCGAAUGAGAAUGUGACUGAAGGCUGCUCUGUGAAGAUGAAUUGGCACAGGAUCGCUAAGGAAAAGAGAGAUAAGCAGAAUGCGGACAGGGCGAACUCAGCAUUCAACCUGAUGGGAUAUGUUUACGAAGCAGACGAAGCCAACAAAGCCAAGCCGGGCUCUGUCUACUACUGGAAGAAAAAUAUAAGACUGCAAAAUAGAUUAUUGAAGAUACACACAAACAGCUUGAUCAACAACAAGCCUAGCCUUAAUAAACAUAUCUAUUUCGACGACGAAGAUGAAGACAUCGCUGAGAAUAUUGUGUCUGAUGUCUCAGCACUAGAUAAGGUGAAAGACUUCCUGAACCGAUCAAAGGUGACCGAAACCAGUGAAUCUCUCCCGAAGACUGAUGAAGGCGACAACGAACCCACCCCAGACACCAGCUCCCCUACGCGCAAACCCCUGCACUCCAUGUCCUCGGAAGACAUCUCUCUGACGCAUAAACGUGGACUGAAAACCGACGUCGAGAAUUUCUCGGAGAAAGACGACUCGACGGAUGACGAGGAUGUGUUUUUCUCGGCCGAAGGUGAGGAGAAGAGCGAGCUGGAUGUGAACGGGCAGGCGGAGCGCAAGGUGAGGCCACCGCAGAGGAAGAAGAAAAAGAGGCAGCUGAAGAAGAAGGGCAUGACUGCGAUGGCUAUUGACAAGCAGAUGUUGCCGGAUGAGAUAGUCGCCAAUCCGCAAUUGGUCAAGUACUGGCACCAAAGGUAUCGCCUGUUUUCGCGGUUUGACGAGGGCAUCAGGCUGGAUGCAGAGAGCUGGUAUUCUGUUACACCUGAGAAGGUAGCUGCCCAUAUAGCUGAAAGAUGCAGAUGUGAUUUGGUAGUGGAUGCCUUUUGUGGAGCUGGAGGUAACACAAUACAGCUGGCUCUCACUUGUGAACGAGUGAUCGCGAUCGACAUAGACCCGGCGAAGGUGGCGCUGGCACGUCAUAACGCGGCGGUGUACGGCGUGGCCGAUCGCAUCGAGUUUGUGGUGGGCGACUUCAUGCGGCUGGCACCCAGUCUGGUGGCCGAUGUGGUGUUCCUGUCGCCGCCCUGGGGUGGCCCCGCCUACCUCGCACAGCCCGCCUACUCGCUCGACAACAUCCUCGCCCCCGUCGGCGGGCUCCAGCUCUACCAGAUGGCCAGUCGCGUCAGCGAGAAUGUCGCCUACUUCCUGCCCAGGAACACUAAUGUCGAUGAGAUAACCAAAGUAGCUGGACCAGGAGGCGAGGUGGAACUCGAACAGAACUUUCUGGACAAGAAACUGAUUUCGAUUACUGCGUAUUUCGGCGAACUACUUAAACCGGGCCAAAGCUGUUGACCCCUUGACCGACUGUGAUUGACUUACUUCAUUCAUACCGACUAUGAUUGAUCUCUUGAUGAUGACUUACAAUUUUAUUGCUGUGAUUGAACGCUAAUAUUGCUUAUGGCUUUGCAAUGGUUCUUGCUGUUGUAUGCUUCGAAAUGUUGAUGCAGUGGAUCAAUUAUAGGGUUA